rnacentral:rRNA from 1 species
CCUACGGGAGGCAGCAGUGGGGAAUAUUGCACAAUGGGGGAAACCCUGAUGCAGCGACGCCGCGUGAGUGAAGAAGUAAUUCGUUAUGUAAAGCUCUAUCAGCAGGGAAGAAAAUGACGGUACCUGAGUAGGAAGCCCCGGCUAACUACUGGCCAGCAGCCGCGGUAAUACGUAGGGGGCAAGCGUUAUCCGGAGUUACUGGGUGUAAAGGGAGCGUAGACGGCAGUGCAAGUCUGGAGUGAAAGGCGGGGGCUCAACCCCCGGACUGCUCUGGAAACUGUACGGCUGGAGUGCAGGAGAGGUAAGUGGAAUUCCUAGUGUAGCGGUGAAAGGCGUAGAUAUUAGGAGGAACACCAGUGGCGAAGGCGGCUUACUGGACUGUAACUGACGUUGAGGCUCGAAAGCGUGGGGAGCAAACAGGAUUAGAUACCCGAGUAGUC